rnacentral:rRNA from 1 species
UGAACGCUGGCGGUAUGCUUUACACAUGCAAGUCGUACGGGAGUUUUUAACUCAAGUGGCGGACGGGUGAGUAACACGUAAGAAUUUACCUUUAGGAGGGGGAUAACAACUGGAAACGGUUGCUAAUACCCCAUAUGCUUUCGAGUGAAAUGGAUUUUUCCGCCUAGAGAGAAGCUUGCGGCUGAUUAGCUUGUUGGUGAGGUAAUGGCUCACCAAGGCGACGAUCAGUAUCUGGUCUGAGAGGAUGAUCAGCCACACUGGGACUGAGACACGGCCCAGACUCCUACGGGAGGCAGCAGUGGGGAAUAUUGGACAAUGGGCGAAAGCCUGAUCCAGCAAUACCGCGUGAAUGAUGAAGGCCUUAGGGUUGUAAACCUCUUUUUUCAGGGAGGAAUCAAUGACGUGUACCUGAAGAAUAAGCAUCGGCUAACUCC